AAUCAUGAUGCCAGGACAGCAGGCAUAGACUGGGAUGUAUGGUCACCACUGGACCUCACAAAUGUCAUAGGUGAGAAAAGCCUUGGGUUAGGCUUGCCUCAGGAUAGCCUCUUCUGGUCACCCAGCCUCCAUCUGCUGGUUCUAGUUUUGGGCUAAGGGGCCUCUUUUCCUCCCCUCUGUCCAGGCGAGCACUGGAGACUAUGGCUAUAAGCAGGUGUGAAGACUUCAGAGGCAACAGCCUGGCAGUAGCUCCUAGCAGACUUUUCCCUCUAACCUCCCUAUCUCAACCUCUUCCCUCUGGCAUACACCUGGCAGUAUGCAUAUCUGCCUCCCUCAAUUCUUCCCUUUGCAGGAAGACUGUGGCUAUCUUAUCUUCCUCACUCUAGCUGGGACUCCACAGUGGUCUGGGGUAGUCCCCACUGGCUUGGCUAACCCUCAGAGAGUGAGUCAGCCUCUGCAGCCGGCCCUUGUCCAUUGUCUGGGGGUGGCACGUGGGUAUUGUGAGGCAGAGCUGAGCCCAGCACUGCCAGGCACCCCACGAAGGAGGCUGACCCCCAAAGGAGAGGAGAAUCUUUAGGGUCUAGAGCUGACAAUGAGAGUUGGGGGAAACAGUUCCUCUUCUGAGCUGAGGAUGGGGUAGAACAGGCUUCUACAGAGGAGUCAGUCCAUUCUCUGCCUUCCACUCCCUGUGGGUCAUGGUUCAGGCCAGGCCCUCUCGUGCACUGCCGGCUCUGGGCAGAGGGGGUAAGGAGACAACUCAGGGUGCUUCCCCUUAUAUGUCCCUCACAGUUGGGGGCUGUCAGAAGCUCUGGAGGCCCAGCCUUUCCCAGGCUCUUCCAUCCUCCCUCACCUGGUCUCUCCCAGCUGCCUCCCACCCACAGUCAGCAUCCACUGGCGGGUUUACUCUUCUCUCCCAGGGCCCAGGGUCAGAUUUGGGUGUGGCUCAGUGUCUGGAGUAAGGGGUAGGAUCAACUAUACUGAGCGCUGGGCAGUGAACCCUGGGAAUUGAGCACCAGCAGUAGAAUCUGUACCCCAGUCCCCCAGCUCACCAGUAGUGACAGGAGGUACAGAACCCCCUGCUGGUUGACCUGCCUGAUGCAGUCAGCUUUCUUCUCCCCUGCCUACUUCCCUCAUGUCCCUGCCCCAUUCUGAUGCACUGUACUCUCCUUUUGGGUUUAAUGCCUCUGUCUGCUCUAUCUUAAUCAGUCUGGCCUUACUUCCUGGCCUGAGACAGUCCCUGGCUAGGCCAGAACCCCAGGAAAGGCAGCCUCAAAAAACAUGCUGCUGAGAAGGAGACCAGAACUGGAGUUCCUUAGUUCCCAAGAGCAGUUGCCAGGGCUCUGGGGGUGCCCAGGGCUCUUCCUGGACCCUGGGACCCUUCCUGGCAUAUUGGAUUGGGGAGGCUUGUGAGCAGGUGAGGGAGGGAUGGUGAGCACUUCCUCUGUCUUGGCUGCAGUUUCUUUUUCUUCUAACCACAAGUGCUUUCCCUUUCCCUCUUGCCUUCUCCUGUCUUCUGUCUCCUUCCUCAUUCUUCCCUUCCGGCUCCCUUCCCGGCACCACCCAUCUAUUCUACCCACCCCGCUUCCCCCAGAUCAAGCGUUUCCUGGAGGACACCACGGAUGAUGGAGAACUGAGCAAGUUCGUGAAGGAUUUCUCAGGAAAUGCGAGCUGCCACCCACCAGAGGCUAAGACCUGGGCAUCCAGGCCCCAAGUCCCGGAGCCAAGGCCCCAGGCCCCGGACCUCUAUGAUGAUGACCUGGAGUUCAGACCCCCCUCGCGGCCCCAGUCCUCUGACAACCAGCAGUACUUCUGUGCCCCAGCCCCUCUCAGCCCAUCUGCCAGGCCCCGCAGCCCAUGGGGCAAGCUUGAUCCCUAUGAUUCCUCUGAGGUAGAGCCUCCAGCCCUGCCUUUGCCUUUCAGUGGGCUGCUGCAGGAAGACCGGGGGCAGGGAGCAGAGUGUGUGUGUGUGUGUGUGUGUGUGUGUGUGUGUGUGUGUUUGUGUGUGUGUGUAUCUGGGACCUAUUUCAGUCCUGUGUCAGCCCUAGCUCCAAGAUAUCUGCCCCCAAGGGCACUGGAAAUUUGCAGUUUCAGCAAGGGCAGGAGGCCCAGCUGGUGGCCUCAGAUGGGAACUCACAGAAGUCUGGCACUGCUUUUUUAAGGCUGGGGCAAAGGCCUGAAAGGGAGAGAAGAUUGGCGCUGGGUGCCGGGGCCCCUUUGGCUCCUCACCGUGAUGCAUUCUGCCUUCCUGUCUACUAGGAUGACAAGGAGUAUGUGGGCUUUGCAACCCUCCCCAACCAAGUCCACCGAAAGUCCGUGAAGAAAGGCUUUGACUUUACCCUCAUGGUGGCAGGAGAGUCUGGCCUGGGCAAAUCCACACUUGUCAAUAGCCUCUUCCUCACUGAUCUGUACCGGGACCGGAAACUUCUUGGUGCUGAAGGUAAGGAAAGGAGAGGACAAUCAGGCAGACUUGCCUUGGGAAAUUAAACUCACUCCAGAGUCUGGGGGAUGGGGCUCUCCCCCACAUGCAGGAAACCAUGGCCUCCUAGAGAGACUGACAGCAGCUCUCCAUAGGCCUAACUGCCUGGCAGCCCACCAGCCAGCUCCCUAAAGAUUUGGGUGCUGAAGCAGGGCAGAGACCAGAGUCUUGCUCUCUGAAUGAGUCUCUGACCCCCAAGGAUUCCAGGAAUCCAAGAAAAAAACCGGGAGCAGAGAAGAGGCUGGGGCCAGAGCCAACAGCCACCGGCAUUUCCUGUGUUGGGAAAUGUACUCCUUGCUGGUUCCCAGAGAACAGUCCCCCAGACAGCUUGGGAGUGGAGAAGGGGGCAGUGUGGAUUAGGCAGUCUGAGCAACAAGGCUGGUUGGGGUGGGCGGUUCAUCCUGACUGGGCAGGUCCCUGCCCUUGCCCUGGCCUCAGUUUCCCCUUUCUCCAGAGAGGAUCAUGCAAACUGUGGAGAUCACUAAGCAUGCAGUGGACAUAGAAGAGAAGGGUGUGAGGCUGCGGCUCACCAUUGUGGACACACCAGGUUUUGGGGAUGCAGUCAACAACACAGAGUGGUAUGUCUGAGUAAGCACAAUCCCAGCUGCCCCUGAGCCACCCUUCUCCAUACACAGGUACACACGUAGGCCCAGAUAUAUCCAUACUUAUCAGGAGGAAGCGGUCUAUGACCUUGAGCAUGUGACUUCCCUUACUGGACAGCCAUCUCCUCCUUUAUAAAGUAAGAGGGAAAGGAUUGGAAUAGAUGAUUUUUAAUGUUCCUUCCAAUUCUGCCCUAUGAUUCUAUAAUGGGGUAGGGACAUAAGAAAGAAGAGGCUGAGGCGGAAGUAUCACUUGAGGCCAGGAGUUCAAGGCCAGCCUGGGCAACAUAGUAAGAUCCCAUCUCUACAAAAAGUUUUAAAAAUUAGCUGGGCAUGGUGGCAUAGGCCUGUAGUCUCAGCUACUGGGGAGGGUGAGGCAGGAGAAUCACUUGAGCUCAGGAGGUUGAGGCUGCAGUGAGCCAUGAUUGCACUACUGCACUAUAGCCUAGAAGACAAAGCGAAACCUUCC
rnacentral:lncRNA from 1 species